GAGAAGGAGGCUUCGGUCUCUGAGUAGAGCGGCGCACGGGUGAGUAACGCGUGGAUGAUCUACCCUUGAGUUCGGGAUAACGGUGCGAAAGCGCCGCUAAUACCGUAUAACAAUCCAUUUCAUCGUGGGUUCAAAGCAGGCCUCUUCAUGAAAGCUUGCGCUUGGGGAUGAGUCCGCGUCCCAUUAGCUUGUUGGCGGGGUAACGGCCCACCAAGGCUACGAUGGGUAGCUGGUCUGAGAGGAUGAUCAGCCACACUGGAACUGAAACACGGUCCAGACUCCUACGGGAGGCAGCAGUGGGGAAUAUUGCGCAAUGGGGGAAACCCUGACGCAGCGACGUCGUGUGAGGGAAGAAGGCCUUCGGGUCGUAAACCUCUGUCAGAAGGGAAGAACAUCCGGGAGUCGAACAGCCUCCCGGCCUGACGGUACCUUCAGAGGAAGCGCCGGCUAACUCCGUGCCAGCAGCCGCGGUAAUACGGAGGGCGCAAGCGUUAAUCGGAAUCACUGGGCGUAAAGCGUGCGUAGGCUGUUUGAUAAGUCAGGCGUGAAAUCCCUCGGCUCAACCGGGGAACUGCGUUUGAUACUGUUGAACUAGAGUCCUGGAGAGGGUGGCGGAAUUCCUGGUGUAGGAGUGAAAUCCGUAGAUAUCAGGAGGAACACCGGUGGCGAAAGCGGCCACCUGGACAGGUACUGACGC
rnacentral:rRNA from 1 species